AUUGUAUUCUUUGGAUUGUAAACCAGGAGGAAGAGGAGCUGGGAGAAGAAGAGCAGAUGAAAGAACAGACAGAGAGAUUAAGGGAGGAGCUGAGCUGUUAGUGAACUAUAGAAGAGACACAAACUUCCACUUUAACACAGUUCAACACACAAAAGCCAAACAUCAUCUUUCUCCAACAUGCUGUCUGUGCAGACAUCUGUGUUCACUCUGCUGCUUCUAGUCAUUGGAACAGAUGUCAGCUGUGAAGAACUCACUGCAGUCAAGAAGGAAGAGUCCACUUUGGAAGGAGCUCCUGUCACUCUGUCCUACGAAUACUCAAAAAAACCAACUGGAGCGGAUGAGUUUUACUGGUAUCGACAAUUUCCAGGAAAACCUCCAGAGUUCUUCUUCUCUCACUUAGGAUCAGAAAGUCGACUACGGAGUUUGGAUCCUAGAUGUUCUCAUCAAGUGAAAGAUGAAGACAAACUGAUAAAUCUGCAGAUCUCCUCUGCUGCAGUGACAGACUCUGCUGUGUACUACUGUGCUGUGAGGCCCACAGUGACAGGAAACAACAAAACUCUGUACAAAAACCUGCAGAAAAAGUACAAUACUCCACAACAUCCACUAGAGGGCGGACCACACUAAACGCACUGAUUGUUAAUUCAUUGAACUGAAGACAAAGACAAGAAAGAAAUGAAGCAAAGAUCAGAAACAGAGAUGCUGUGGAAGCACUCAACUUUUUGAUUGGUUGAGUUAAUUUUGUUGGCUCCGCCCACUGAACUUCAGAUCAUCCAGUGACAUUAUUUCUCCCUCAUUGUGCUGCAGUAGAAGAACAGAGUUCAUCUGCUGUCUGUGUGUCUUCAAGAACUCCAAAGACAUGUUGCUUUACCUCUUUUUGCUUCUAUCUCA